GAUGAACGCUAGCGGCAGGCCUAAUACAUGCAAGUCGAACGGUGUCUUCGGACAUAGUGGCGCACGGGUGCGUAACACGUAUGCAACCUACCUUACAUUGGGGGAUAGCCUUUCGAAAGGGAGAUUAAUACCGCAUAAGACAGUAAUUUGGCAUCAAGUAGCUGUUAAAGAUUUAUCGAUGUAAGCUGGGCAUGCGUCCAAUUAGUUAGUUGGUGAGGUAAUGGCUCACCAAGACGAUGAUUAGUAGGGGAACUGAGAGGUCAAUCCCCCACACUGGCACUGAGAUACGGGCCAGACUCCUACGGGAGGCAGCAGUAGGGAAUAUUGGGCAAUGGGCGCAAGCCUGACCCAGCCAUGCCGCGUGCAGGAAGAAGGCGUUCUGCGUUGUAAACUGCUUUUAUAUAGGAAGAAACGGCCCUUGCGAGGGACAUUGACGGUACUAUAUGAAUAAGCACCGGCUAACUCCGUG
rnacentral:rRNA from 1 species